rnacentral:rRNA from 1 species
CGCGUAGGUGGUUCGACAAGUUGGAUGUGAAAGCCCAGGGCUCAACCCUGGAAUUGCAUUCAAGACUGUCUUACUUGAAUUCGGUAGAGGUUGGUGGAAUUCCCAGUGUAGAGGUGAAAUUCGUAGAGAUUGGGAAGAAUACCCGUGGCGAAGGCGGCCAACUGGACCGACAUUGACACUGAGGCGCGAAAGCGUGGGGAUCAAACA